CUCACUCUCCCUCUUUCUCUUCCCCUCUCUUUCUCUCCUUGUCUUUUUGUCUCUUUAUGUCUAUUGCAUUAUGCCUGAAUAAUUUUCAGUCUUUUUUUUCCUCUCCUCUUGCACGCACAUGCUAAAAUAACUAGACAAAGAUGCAAGGUGGUUGCUGCAGUCCCUGUCUCUAGGACAAAACCAAGAAAGCUUGUGAUUGCAAUGCCACCUUUCCUUUUUUUUUUUCCUCUUCUUUUUUUCUUCCCCAGCCAUGCUUGGUGAUUAAACUUCCUCAGGAUGGGGAAGAAAAAGGAGCUGAAAAUGAAAUAGGGCUGAGGAAAAAUCCCAUUGCAGCAGCUGCAGCCAGUGGUGUCUGCUGCCAGAUGUGCGAAGGUUCCUGGGGUCCUUGUCACUAAAAGGCAGUAUUCAAAUAUUUGGAGACAAAAGCUGCAUCCUCAGUGAUCAUUUUCUUUAUUUAACAUGGCAGCAGGCAUCGUGUGGGGAAAAAUCAACAUGCUGGAUGUUGAAUCGGACUUUUCUCCUUUCUGGGAUGAAAGGAUGUUAUCUAUCCCAUGCCAAGAGGGAACUGAGGUACUGGUCUCUUAGCCUGUAAGGCUUGUGCAUGAUGUCUAUGAGAGCAAUUUCCAGCAGAGCGAAGCCUUAUCACAGAUUCACCUAAAAGGUGGAUAGGAGUCAUGGAUGUGAAAGAAGACAUUAACCAGGCUGUUGUGAAAGAUCUGAUGCCAGCUUUGGUCAAAGGGGACGAGUGUCAUCCUGGGAGUGCUCGUCCCUGGGACAGGAAGCCGGCGCAGCGAAGC